rnacentral:rRNA from 1 species
GAUCCUGCCGGAGGUUACUGCUAUCGAGGUUCGACUAAGCCAUGCGAGUCGAAUGUAGCAAUACAUGGCGAACUGCUCAGUAACACGUGGACAACCUGCCCUUAGGUUGGGUAUAAACCCGGGAAACUGGGUAUAAUACCCGAUAGGUCUCGAUUGCUGGAAUGCAUCGAGAUUUAAAGCUCCGGCGCCUAAGGAUGGGUCUGCGGCCUAUCAGGUAGUAGUGGGUGUAGCGUACCUACUAGCCUACGACGGGUACGGGUUGUGAGAGCAAGAGCCCGGAGAUGGAUUCUGAGACACGAAUCCAGGCCCUACGGGGUGCAGCAGGCGCGAAAACUUUACAAUGCUGGCAACAGCGAUAAGGGAACCUCGAGUGCCAGGUUACAAAUCUGGCUGUCGAGAUGCCUAAAAAGCAUUUCAUAGCAAGGGCCGGGCAAGACCGGUGCCAGCCGCCGCGGUAACACCGGCGGCUCGAGUGGUAACCGUUAUUAUUGGGUCUAAAGGGUCUGUAGCCGGCCGGAUAAGUCUCUUGAGAAAUCUGGCAGCUUAACUGUCAGGCUUUCAGGAGAUACUGUCUGGCUCGAGGCCGGGAGAGGUGAGAGGUACUUCAGGGGUAGGGGUGAAAUCUUGUAAUCCUUGAAGGACCACCAGUGGCGAAGGCGUCUCACCAGAACGGACCUGACGGCAAGGGACGAAAGCUAGGGGCACGAACCGGAUUAGAUACCCGGGUAGUCCUAGCCGUAAACGAUACUCGCUAGGUGUCGGCCACGGUGCGACCGUUGUCGGUGCCGUAGGGAAGCCGUGAAGCGAGCCACCUGGGAAGUACGGCCGCAAGGCUGAAACUUAAAGGAAUUGGCGGGGGAGCACCACAACGGGUGGAGCUUGCGGUUUAAUUGGAUUCAACGCCGGG